rnacentral:rRNA from 1 species
AACGAACGCUGGCGGCAUGCCUAACACAUGCAAGUCGAACGAGACCUUCGGGUCUAGUGGCGCACGGGUGCGUAACGCGUGGGAACCUGCCCUUAAGUUCGGAAUAACUCCCCGAAAGGGGUGCUAAUACCGGAUAAUGUCUUCGGACCAAAGAUUUAUCGCCUUUGGAUGGGCCCGCGUUGGAUUAGCUAGUUGGUAGGGUAAAAGCCUACCAAGGCGACGAUCCAUAGCUGGUCUGAGAGGAUGAUCAGCCACACUGGGACUGAGACACGGCCCAGACUCCUACGGGAGGCAGCAGUGGGGAAUAUUGGACAAUGGGCGAAAGCCUGAUCCAGCAAUGCCGCGUGAGUGAUGAAGGCCUUAGGGCUGUAAAGCUCUUUUAACCGGGAUGAUAAUGACAGUACCGGGAGAAUAAGCUCCGGCUAACUCCGUG